UACGUAGGGUGCAAACGUUGCUCGGAUUUACUGGGCGUAAAGCGCGUGUAGGCGGGCGACUAAGUCGGAUGUGAAAUCCCUGGGCUCAACCUAGGAACUGCAUUCGAAACUGGUCACCUAGAGUGAUGGAGAGGAAAGCGGAAUUCCCGGUGUAGAGGUGAAAUUCGUAGAUAUCGGGAGGAACACCAGUGGCGAAGGCGGCUUUCUGGACAUUUACUGACGCUGAGACGCGAAAGCGUGGGGAGCAAACAGG
rnacentral:rRNA from 1 species